GGUUCGGUGGUCUAGGGGUAUGAUUCUCGCUUAGGGUGCGAGAGGUCCCUGGUUCAAAUCCCGGCCGAACCC
rnacentral:tRNA from 2 species